CCUGAGGAGACAGCGAUCACCAAGCUCAGGGCAAGUCACAGGUCCUUGUCCUCCUGCCGCCCCGCCCCCGAGCACGGCUUGGGUGUGUGGAGGCUUACUGCUCACAGUACCGCGUGUUGGGGGCCGAGCUGCAGCCUCUCCAAAAUCCCCAAACUCCUGACCCCCAGCACCUCAGCAACGUGCUUGUGUUUGGACACGGGUCUUCCGUGAGGUGAUUACGUUAACAGAUCCUGUGGGGGGGCCACAUACAAUAAGAACGGGGUCCGAUAAAGACGAGAUCAGGACCCAGACAGGCAUAGAGGGGACAAGCAUUGAGGGCACGGGGAGGAGAUGGCCGUCUGCGAGCCCGGGAGAGAGGCUUCGGGGAACCAGCCUGCCCAUGCCUGAUGCCCCCCGACCCCCGGACUGCGAGGGACUCAAUCCCUGGUCACGGCAGCGCAAGCUGACGGAUACACCAGGAUUGCAUGUGCCGAGCAGAACGAACCCUCGAGAGCACUUGGCGGACACGGGAAAAAAACCGACAGCGAGCACUUAGCUGCCUUUCCUUCCAACGCUCUUUCACACACGUGAUUCCGCACGAAAGAGAUCACAUCGUUUCCCGCUUUACUUUUCACACACGUGUCCUCCGUUUGAUCUUGAACUUGUCUGGGUUUUUCCACCACGAACAGCAAAAACAUGGAAUUUUAUAAAAUUGGAAAUCAGCUCCGCAUUCCCUUCACGGCGGGGGGAGGGGGCGGCACUCUUUGUCUCUUCUCCCGCAGGCUCCUGAUUCCGCUCCCUCCUUUCCUCCGCCGAAGAGUUCGAAGGCUUCGUGCUGGGGACGGCCUUGGCAUCAGCCAGGCAGGACACAAAGAUGAAAUGAGGGCUGGAGAGGUCAUGUCAAAUCUCAGCCCUCCAGCUGCCAUGGUACCUUGUCAAGAGCCACAGAGGCAGGGCGAGGAGCGGUGGAGCCCAGCAGGGCGGCGGGAGGCUCCCGAGGGGCCGACGGGAGCCUCGGGCUACACCCCAGGCUCUCCACUUGACAAAGCUCCGGGACAUCCAACGUUAUGAUCUCAGGCACAGCACAGGCCGUGAAGAAUCCACUAAUAGACAUAUAGUUCGGUGAAUAAUGCAGCUUGUACGCUAAGAAUGCACCCCCGCGGGGAAUACAUCACCCCGUGAUCUCUGGCCAGGGGAAAGGCGUGUCGGCUGGCCCGAGGCCUCGAGGCCUCGAGCAGGCACAGGGACAUCCUGUGUGCCGGGAAGGUGGCAGGAGGCACUCCCUCGAUGUGAAUUCUGAUGCUCUCUCUUCUGAUUUAACGGCUCCCCUUGCCUUCGGGAGCUCUAUUUUCCCUUGCGUCUGUUCGGACUUGAAUGACGUUCCAGGUGAAGAGAAGGAGCAAGGAGCAGGGUUGCUACUGGACAGCAUUUAUUCUGACUCCUAACAACUAAUGGAAGAGGAGUGUUUGGCUGGCUCUAAAUACUUCCAAAUAGAACGUACAGCCCAUGCAGGUACAUAUGGACCACAGCCCUCCCCGGCCCCGCCUCCUCCUGCUUGACAGAGGGGCGGGGCCCGUGCUGGCUCCACCCCCAAACUCCUGCAGUGAUGUCUGCUGCCUUGCCAGGCUGUCAUCCACGUCCUGCUCCACGUCUGUCUUUGCCUUUCUUCUGUCCCCUGCUCCUUAACCAGAUCAUAAGCAUGAAGGGACAGGGAAGGACGUGGAGACGCAAUACAAACUGUAUCUUCUACGGCCCUGGCCAGGCUCCUGUUUACCUUGGAUGUCACUUACAAAUAACAUAGCAUCUCAAAAUGUUCAAAGGACACCCUUUCCAUACAGGUACAGUUAUUAAGACUUGGUUGGGCACGCACCAUGUGAACAUCUCUUACAACAUCCUCCCACGUCCGCCUUGGAAAAAUGCACAGUCUUUCUUGGAGAGAAAAACAGGAAUUAAUUAAAAUUUGUAACUGAAGGUUGUAGGUUUCUUUUUCCUCUUGGAGGAGAGGACUGCAGAAGAAAAUUACAGGGCCAAUUCUAUUGCAGUCCCUGAACAUGAGCGUCUCCUGGUGCCCAGCUCAACAUGUGAACUUGAGUCAUCAGCCCAAGAGGAGGUGGGCUGCCUCGGGCCAUGCGGUCACUCCUGGGGCCACUGCCAGGGCUGGCUGAGUGGUUUACUGUGCCCCGUGAUUUCUGGGUGGCCCAUCCUGACUCCAGGACAAGAUGGAGAGUCCGUGCUCAGAAAGUAGACACCAGAUUUGACCCAGAGCCAUCUCACUGAGCUGCGGAAAGACGUCAGCUCAGCGAGGUCCCCCUGUAACGGGUGCGCCGGCCCCUGCUGGACGUGCCUCCUGGGGAUCUUAGGCUCCGUGGCCAGUUAGGAAACUCAAAUGUGCCCCAUGUUACUUGCUUCCAGUAUUAAACAUGAAAGGGUGAAAGAUGAUAGACGCAGUUGCAAACAGAUGUAUCUUCCAACAAAAUGUAUCUUCUUCCUUUUUACUACAAGUGGAGCCACCAUGUGGACGGUUCCGGCUGCAGCAAGCCUAGCGGAUGCACGCCACAGUUACUUGGAGAAUCGUCUUCUUGUUCCGACUGGGGACAGUUUAACAGACCCGUGUGCAGGAACAGCACAGGACACAUACACGUCACAUGAUAAAUAACCUCUGACGGCAAAGAGGAACGAGCGAGCUUCCGCAUGAGAACAGCAACAUUAGCAGAGUUACUGAGAUGAUUGGGCUCUCCGCCUUUGACUCACGACGCUUCAUGCGGACACAGAAGCCUCUUCCUUCCAGAAUAGAUGCUGAGCAAAACAGAGGAAGAGAUUCUCCUACCACAUCCCCCGAAAUAACACAGAGCCACCACUCACAAGAUAAUCAUCACCAAGCUGCCGUGUGCAGCCUCUACCCUCGGCUCUUGUUGGAGACCCACACUUGCUACGCAGCCACGCGCGCUUCGUGGCCAGUGGGACGGGGCCGUACGGGAGCCACGUACUCAGCGCACACGCUGCACACCAGGGCUCCUGACCGCUGGACAUAAUCCGUCUUCUGGGCCGUCCCCCCUGCAGUCCAGACUGUCCAUCUCAUGGAACAAAGGGCAGUGCCAAGGUCCUCGGGAUCUCUGGGCAAGAGGCAGGACGGACUGACCCGCAGAUGAAAGUCAUGUCCCAGAUGUACCUCCGUAAGGGGAGUGGCUGAGCUCGGCCCCUGGGGCUCAGCCCUCCUGUGUGUGUGCUGACCAGCUACUCGGCCCCUCUGCGAUGAAAGGUCUGCAUCUGACCCAGGGCAGGGAAGGUUCUGGUUAGAUGCCAGCUCUCAGCCCUGGCGACACCCUGGACUCUCCUGGGAAGCUUUAGAAAUGCUGAGGCCCAGGCCGCAGCCCUGGAGAUUCUGCUCGGAAUUGGUCUACGGUGGCACCUGGGAUUCAGGACUUCUACCAGACUCCCCGAGAAAUUCCAACGGGCCGUGCAGGUGGAGGGCUGCUGGCUCCGAUGCCGGGGCGGUGAGACUGCUAACACCUGGACCACACGGACGGAGAAGUGGAGUGCCACAGAUCUGGGAGUCGGGGAGAUUCUGCUGGCAGUGCGGCCCAGGCACAGGUGUGCUGAGAAAUGCCUACCACCCGGCUCCCCGCCCCCCACCCCCCAGGAGAAAGAGCUCCAGCGCCCGGCACCUGCCAAAAUUUGUGCGGCAGACGCUUACGCCCCGAUUUCAAGGUACCAACGAGACAUCGACCAGAAGUUAACCAUCAGUGCAUGAAAGUAGGUUUGGGCACGCACCGCCAGACCUGGGGCACGCUGUUCAUCUCUCUACUCCUCUGUCUUCCUCAUCGGCAACACGGACACCAGACGGUGCCUAUUUUGUAAAGGACUGGAAGGACCGAACGGAACACACACGAGAAGCUCUCAGAGGCCGUCAGGGCCAGGAAGAGGGCGAUCCUACUUUUAUCAACAGGGAGACGGCCAAGACUGUUGUAUGAACCCAGAUGUAGGUCACCUUCCCUCCCAGGAGCCCACGGGGAGGACCCUGGCCCUCCCUCCUUCAGCGUAUGCUUCUGCAGUUCCGCAGUCUGGCCAGCUGCCCCUAGAGGGCGGUGUGAGGAGCCGGAGACCCAGGGCGAGGGACUCCUUUUCAGGGGUUAGUCCUCAGGGACCAGCACACAACCUGGUGCUGGAAACAGAAGCCACUGAUUCCUUAGGGCAACAGGUUCCCUGAACCAGGAGAGGUCUCGUCUCCCUUCCCGUCUCUCCACGGCUCAUCCUUCUGACCAUGAAAGCAAUAGAUGGCAUUUGUAAAAUUUUGCACAUAUGGGGGAGUAUCAAGAGGAGAUAAAACAGACGUUGCCCAUCUCGGGCACACGUGGACCGGUCUUCUCCCAGCCCAGGCCGUGCCCCGCGUUCUGUGCACCUGCCCUGCCUUGCCAUCCCCUGUGUCAUGGUGACAGCACCAUCAGGAAGGUCCCUGCUUCGUGAUUCUGUCCCCAUACCUGUCUCUCUGGUUGACUUUGUUUUUCUUACUGUAAAAAUAGCAGAUACUGCAAAUGUAAAACGGUGCAGCUGCUUUGGAAAACAGUCUGGCAGUUCCUCAAAUGAUUAAACAUAGUCACCAUAUGCCCUGAAAUUCUACUCCUACGCAUCAGCCCGAGAGGGAUGAAAACACAGCCACGCAAACACGUGGUGAUGGGCGCUGACAGCAGCGUCGUGCAGACGAGCCCAAAGGUGGAAACAACCCCAGUGUCCAUCAGAAGACAAAUGGGGGGGGGCUCCUGGGUGGCACAGUCGUUAAGCGUCUGCCUUCGGCUCAGGGCAUGAUCCCGGCGUUAUGGGAUCGAGCCCCA